GACGAACGCUGGCGGCGUGCUUAACACAUGCAAGUCGAACGGAAAGGCCCUGCUUUUGUGGGGUGCUCGAGUGGCGAACGGGUGAGUAACACGUGAGUAACCUGCCCUUGACUUUGGGAUAACUUCAGGAAACUGGGGCUAAUACCGGAUAGGAGCUCCUGCUGCAUGGUGGGGGUUGGAAAGUUUCGGCGGUUGGGGAUGGACUCGCGGCUUAUCAGCUUGUUGGUGGGGUAGUGGCUUACCAAGGCUUUGACGGGUAGCCGGCCUGAGAGGGUGACCGGCCACAUGGGGACUGAGAUACGGCCCAGACUCCUACGGGAGGCAGCAGUGGGGAAUAUUGCACAAUGGGCGGAAGCCUGAUGCAGCAACGCCGCGUGCGGGAUGACGGCCUUCGGGUGGUAAACCGCUUUCGCCUGUGACGAAGCGUGAGGGACGGUAAUGGGUAAAGAAGCACCGGCUAACUACGU
rnacentral:rRNA from 1 species